rnacentral:lncRNA from 1 species
AGGUUCUUACAACAGCUCCAGUGUCCAUAUGACUGAUGUCAGCUGUGACGCCAGGUGCAUUGACAACAUCGUAGAGAUGAAGUAAAGAGACAAGAGGGUUCAGCUUCAUCAGCAAAGCUAAAGGUUGUCCAAUUCCACCUGCAGCUCCAAGAAUCGCUACUUUGAAUCCUGAAUUCCCGCCUUUCGCUCUGCAGUUUUCUCGUCCCAUUACCGAAUUCUUUCCCUCCACCUAAUCAUUGACCAAUCACACACACAAAAAAAAAAGAUAACAUAUCAACUCUUAGUCCUAGAAGGCUUCAAUGGAGACAAAAACAAUUUGUUCUCACUCUCUAUUGUCAUCAGAAAUGGAAGUUCACUAGUAGAACGAAUGUAAAGUUCGUAACUGGACUAAAAUUUGAGUCUUGAUGACUCUGAGACUGAAUACAAACUAUUAUUUCUUGUUUUAGAACAGCCAAUGAUUAAAAGAACCAAAUAAGGUAACUUGAAUUAGAAGCAAUAGUGAGGAAAAAAAAAACCUGAAGAGUUAAAGAAG